ensembl:snoRNA U3 Small nucleolar RNA U3
AAUACUAUACUUUCAGGGAUCCUUUCUUUAAUUCAUUACUAGAGGUUUCUCUGAAUGUGUAGAGCACCAGAAACCACUAGGAGGAAACACAGUGUGCUCUCUCCGGAGUGUGAAGCCAGCCCUUGGUGUUGGUUGGCUGCAACUGCCCUUUACCAUUGACAAUUGUUCUCUUCCUUAGGAAGAAUGAGAGGGAAAGAAGGCAGUCUUUGUGGU